CCUACGGGAGACAGCAGUGGGGAAUAUUGCACAAUGGGCGAAAGCCUGAUGCAGCAACGCCGCGUGAAGGAAGAAGGGUUUCGGCUCGUAAACUUCUAUCAACAGGGACGAAAGAAAUGACGGUACCUGAAUAAGAAGCUCCCGCUAACUACGUGACAGCCGCCGCCGUAAUCCGUAGGGGGCAAGCGUUAUCCGGAAUUACUGGGUGUAAAGGGUGAGUAGGCGGCAUGGUAAGCCAGAUGUGAAAUCCGUGGGCUUAACCCGGAGAUUGCAUUUGGAACUCUCAAUCUAGAGUACAGGAGAGGAAAGCGGAAUUCCUAGUGUAGCGGUGAAAUGCGUAGAUAUUAGGAAGAACACCAGUGGCGAAGGCGGCUUUCUGGACUGAAACUGACGCUGAGGCACGAAAGCGUAGGGAGCGAACAGGAUUAGAUACCCGGGUAGUC
rnacentral:rRNA from 1 species